rnacentral:lncRNA from 1 species
NNNNNNNNNNNNNNAAGGCCAGAUCUCACCAUGGGGGGCAGAAGGAGCCCAGAUCCCACCCCAGGACAUAUCUGUGGGGCAGGGAGAAGGCCAGAUCUUACUAUGGGGGGCAGAAGGAGCCCAGAUCCCACCCCCAGACGUAUCCAUGGGGCAGGGAGAAGGCCAGAUCUGGCCAUGGGGGGCAGAAGGAGCCCAGAUCCCACCCCAGGACGUAUCCAUGGGGCAGGGAGAAGGCCAGAUCUCACCAUGGGGGGCAGAAGGAGCCCAGAUCCCACCCCAGGACGUAUCCAUGGGGCAACAGAACAGCCAGAUCUGGCCAUGGGGGGCAGAAGGAGCCCAGAUCCCACCCCGGGACAUAUCUGUGGGGCAGGGAGAAGGUCAGAUCUCACCAUGGGGGGCAGAAGGAGCCCAGAUCCCACCCCGGGACAUAUCUGUGGGGCAGGGAGAAGGCCAGAUCUGGCCAUGGGGGGCAGAAGGAGCCCAGAUCCCACCCCGGGACAUAUCUGUGGGACAGGGGGGCCAGAUCUGGCCAUGGGGGGCAGAAGGAGCCCAGAUCCCACCCCAGGAUGUAUCCAUGGGGCAGGAGAAGGCCAGAUCUGGCCAUGGAGGGCAGAAGGAGCCCAGAUUCCACCCCAGGACGUAUCUGUGGGGCAGGGAGAAGGCCAGAUCUGGCCGUGGGGGGCAGAAGGAGCCCAGAUCCCACCGUGGGACAUAUCUGUGGGGCAGGAGAAGAUCAGAUUUGACUGUAGAGGAGCAAAAGGAGCCCAGAUCCCACCCCGGGACGUAUCCAUGGGGCAACAGAACAGCCGGAUCUGGUCAUGGGGGGCAGAAGGAGCCCAGAUCCCACCCCAGGACGUAUCCAUGGGGCAGGGAGAAGGCCAGAUCUUACCAUGGGGAGCAGAAGGAGCCCAGAUCCCACCCCAGGACGUAUCCAUGGGGCAGGAAAAGGCCAGAUCUGGCCAUGGGGGGCAGAAGGAGCCCAGAUCCCACCCCAGGACGUAUCCAUGGGGCAGGGAGAAGACCAGAUCUUACCAUGGGGCAGCACCUGGGGAACAAGAGGUGACCAGAUCUCGCCGUUGGGGGGGGAGGUCGGACGGAAGCCGGCUCC